rnacentral:rRNA from 1 species
GACGAACGCUGGCGGCGUGCCUAAUACAUGCAAGUAGAACGCUGAAGAGAGGAGCUUGCUCUUCUUGGAUGAGUUGCGAACGGGUGAGUAACGCGUAGGUAACCUGCCUUGUAGCGGGGGAUAACUAUUGGAAACGAUAGCUAAUACCGCAUAACAAUGGAUGACACAUGUCAUUUAUUUGAAAGGGGCAAUUGCUCCACUACAAGAUGGACCUGCGUUGUAUUAGCUAGUAGGUGAGGUAACGGCUCACCUAGGCGACGAUACAUAGCCGACCUGAGAGGGUGAUCGGCCACACUGGGACUGAGACACGGCCCAGACUCCUACGGGAGGCAGCAGUAGGGAAUCUUCGGCAAUGGGGGCAACCCUGACCGAGCAACGCCGCGUGAGUGAAGAAGGUUUUCGGAUCGUAAAGCUCUGUUGUAAGUCAAGAACGAGUGUGAGAGUGGAAAGUUCACACUGUGACGGUAGCUUACCAGAAAGGGACGGCUAACUACGUGCCAGCAGCCGCGGUAAUACGUAGGUCCUGAGCGUUGUCCGGAUUUAUUGGGCGUAAAGCGAGCGCAGGCGGUUUGAUAAGUCUGAAGUUAAAGGCUGUGGCUCAACCAUAGUUCGCUUUGGAAACUGUCAAACUUGAGUGCAGAAGGGGAGAGUGGAAUUCCAUGUGUAGCGGUGAAAUGCGUAGAUAUAUGGAGGAACACCGGUGGCGAAAGCGGCUCUCUGGUCUGUAACUGACGCUGAGGCUCGAAAGCGUGGGGAGCGAACAGG